GCCGGCUUAGCUCAGUGGUAGAGCAACCGCCUUGUAAGCGGUAGGUCGUCAGUUCGAUCCCGACAGCCGGCACCA
rnacentral:tRNA from 1 species